rnacentral:rRNA from 1 species
UACGUAGGGUGCAAGCGUUGUCCGGAAUUAUUGGGCGUAAAGAGCUCGUAGGCGGUCUGUCGCGUCUGCUGUGAAAACUCAGGGCUUAACCCUGAGCUUGCAGUGGGUACGGGCAGACUAGAGUGCGGUAGGGGAGACUGGAAUUCCUGGUGUAGCGGUGAAAUGCGCAGAUAUCAGGAGGAACACCGGUGGCGAAGGCGGGUCUCUGGGCCGGAUACUGACGCUGGAGGAGCGAAAGCGUGGGGAGCAAACAGG